UACGAAGGGGGCUAGCGUUGCUCGGAAUCACUGGGCGUAAAGCGCACGUAGGCGGAUUGCUAAGUCAGGGGUGAAAUCCUGGAGCUCAACUCCAGAACUGCCUUUGAUACUGGCGAUCUCGAGUCCGGGAGAGGUGAGUGGAACUGCGAGUGUAGAGGUGAAAUUCGUAGAUAUUCGCAAGAACACCGGUGGCGAAGGCGGUUCUCUGGGCCUUACCUGACGCUGAGGAGCGAAAGCGUGGGGAGCGAACAGG
rnacentral:rRNA from 1 species